rnacentral:lncRNA from 1 species
AUAUAAGGAAUUUCUCCCUAAAGAGAUGCAGAGAAAUAGAACACCAAAAUAACACUAAAAAGUUAGCUUGACAGCAUAAACAAUAAGCAAUGUAAGAGUUAUUUUGGAAAACCACAAGAGAAAUAAAUUUCCUGAUAGCUAAAAUAAAUUUCCUAGAUUAGCCAGGCAGUCAGCAUCAUACAAUAAAAGAACCCAUUUGGAAGACAAUUAAUUACUUGCUAUAAUGGCUCGGAAAUUCCGAGCACAGUGACCUCAGCUUCCACCACGCAAACGCCAUUCACUAGAAAUCUAGUCUCUGGCUCAUCUAACUCACCCAAUGAAACGAAUCUUGGCCGGCCCCAGUUAUCGCUUGGUGUAUGGAACCAGUCUUUAUUCUCUGCUAGAGUAAAAGGAACAUUCUCGUUAUAUUAAUGGGACUUGCCUCAAAAACUAAUUGCAGGUAAACACAGACAUUUUACCUUGAAAAGAUUUAUGUUUUGCCCCCACUUGAUCUAUGAUUCGCAAUGUAUGCUCUACAUAUAUGCUUUAGUCGCCUCGACUGCGGAAUCUCCCAAAGCCAAGUACAGAGAAAGAUGAUCGCCAUCACCACAGCCGUUUACAAUCUGGAGGAAUGUGCUUCACAAACAAAGAAACAAACAGACACUACCAGAAGCAACUAUGCAGUUACUGGUUCAGAAACACAAAACCUAGAGUCACUGAAAAUGGAUAGAACAAUUACUAUCUUUGAGUAAAGAAGCAAAACAACUAAAACCUAGCUUUGCCAGCUUUUGCGGCACGCAGCCCUUCAGUAAUUAGUGCAUCAAGCUACAGGUCCAUAACUCGCGUGUAUGAAUUUGAAAUUUAGGAGUCCAAUAAUGCAAGCGGUUUGAGUGAGAUAUUAUAACUGAAUUAUUGGCAAUUAAAACUUCAGGAAGUAACGGGUGUCUGAUAAGCUUCUACCUUCACAUUUGCAGCAACCACUGCCUAAUGUCCUUUUGUAGGACUCCAUCAAACCCAUUUCUAUUGUAGUUCAAACUCAACUGAUCAGAUCCAUUUGUCUGAAGAUGCCUAUACUGGGUUAUGGUUCCCGCAGGCCUUGGAUGCCGCAUCAUCAUGGCAAUGGUAGAAAAGGGUAGUUUAGGCCAUAUAUUUUUUGAUGAGCUAAACAGAUGUAAAUCAGAUUCCUUGUUUCUGGAUGUUUGGACUCCAGGAGUUUUUGGAUUGGAAGACUUCAUUCCAUGGUUGGUCAUGUUCAUGCUGGGGCCAUGUGGCAGUUUCUCAGGGGGACCAUGUAUCUGGGCAGAUGGUUUCAUACGGUCAAGCCAACGUAGAAUCCAGUUACCAACAUUUCUACCAACUUCUAUGUCCCUCUGUUGUAUGUUCCUAUGAAACUUGAGAGCAAUAUCAAAGGCAGCACGUACUCAGCUGUGGAAAAAAUCAAUGAAGAAUGAAGGUCAGUCUUCAAAAACAAUGGCAGUUCCAAGUUGGAGUAAUAAAUUUGUUAUUAUGCAAAACAAUUGUAGAAAUAACAGUAUUUGCCAGCUAGUAAUUGACAUAACAGCAGUAGUUAAACAGUAGAAUGGAAUCCAAUGAGCCAACCAGAGGGAAGAAUGCAAAGCUCGGGCAGUACCGUGGUCAGUAUCACACUGAGACUCUAACAGUGGAGGAUGUCCAAUUAUUGGUUUCAUAAUGCAUACUAAAUCAAUUCAAAGUCCAAAGUAUAGAAACAAUUAACUAAUUUAGGAUUUCAAUUUUAUGCAGAGGGUUUCAUGAAUAAUUACAACUGGAUCGGAAAGAUUCUGGAGCAAAAAAAUGUGCCCUGGUAAAUUACUGUCAUGAAGUAAAUAACAUCCUACAAAUAAACAUCAAAAUAUAACGGCUCAUUAAAAAGAAAAGCACAGAAGAACUUUCAAUCUAUCAUUUCAAAACAGUCUCUUUGAACUAAACAAGAGUACAGCUAUGACCUCCAGCUUUGGACGUUAGUACUUGUGCUUCUCCAAAAUCUUCACAUCACCUAAAGAGAGACAGCAAAGGUUUCUCAGGGGGACCACGUAUAUGAGCAGAUGGUUUCAUUUAGUCAAGCCAACGUAGAAUCCAGCAUUUCUACCAACUUCUAUGUCCCUCUCAUGUAUGUUCCUGUGAAACUUGAGAGCAACAUCAAAGGCAGCACGUACUCGGCUGUGGAAAAAAUCAAUGAAGAAUGAAGGUCAGUCUUCAAAAAACAAUGGCAGUUCCAAGUUGGAGGAGUAAUAAAUUUGUUAUUAUUCAAAACAAUUGUAGAAAUAACAGUAUUUGCCAGCUAGUAACUGACAUAACAGCAGUAGUUAAACAGUAGAAUGGAAUCCAAUGAGCCAACCAUUGGGAAGAAUGCAAUGCUCAGGCAGUACCGUGGUCAAUAUCACACUGAGACUCUAAGAGUGGAGGAUGUGCAAUUAUUGGUUUCAUGAGGCAUACUAAAUCAAUUCAAAGUCCAAAGUAUUGAAACAAUUAAUUAAUUUAGGAUUUCCGUUUUAUGCAGAGGCUUUCAUGAAUAAUUACAACUAGAUCAGAAGGAUUCUGGAAAAAAGAUAUGUGCCCUGGUAACUUACUUUCAUGAAGUUAAUAACGUCCUACUAAUAAACAUCAAAAUACAACGGCUCAUUAAAAAGAAAAGCACAGAAGAACUUUCAAUCUAUCAUUUCAAAACAGUCUCUUUGAACUAAACAAGAGUACAGCUAUGACCUCCAGCUUUGGACGUUAGUACUUGUGCUUCUCCAAAAUCUUCACAUCACCUAAAGAGAGACAGCAGUUUAAGAAUUUGCUCAUAAUAAUGAAAUUAGUUCUGGUAUCCGAGCAUUGUAGCUUGAUUGGAUAAUAAGUUCACAGGAAUACAUAUGAGACUCUCUAACUGCUUCACCUACAGGUACUACAAGAAGCUGGCAAACAAGUUGCUUUGACAUCAAGGGUUCAACAUAAUGCCAAAACAGCAAAAAACAUUUUGUUAAAAGUUUGGUAUAGCAAAUCUAAAAGAUAAGUUGAUUCAAAUCCCAUUAUGGUGCCACAGAUAAAACUAGUUGGAGGUUUGCAAAACUUUGCAAUAGAAAUUAGGCACCAAUCUAGUAUGAGAGAACGCAGGUUGCAGUUGCAGAUAUUCAACAAUCAACUGAGUUGAUAGUAACUUCUCUUAAUCUUUUAAGGAUUGGCUUUGCUCCAUAAUUGGUUAAAUCACAAAUUCAGCAACCUAGCCUAUCCAAUAUGUCAUAAGAUCACAGAUUUAGAAGCUGAUUUUAUUAUGAAAUGCACAGGGCCAUUCUAAGUCAGAUAGGAAUGAAUAAUUGCUUUCAGGGAAGAGCUCAGUGGUCUCUCAUAUUGCACAUGAUAUCAAGUCAAUGUGAACUAUUCACAUCAGUUUACAUCCAAGCUGAAGUAGAAGUGCCAGGAUGCACAAUGAACUAGUUGAAGUAGCAAACUAAAGUUUUUCCCUUCAUAUUCCUAUAUAAUUAAGACAGCUAAAAUACAGAUUGGUACUUUGUUAUAGCCGUAUUCAAACACAUAUUUUGACCUCUGUAUAACUAAACUUCAAUGGAGCUCAUUAGAUUGGAAGCAAUAAGUUCAUUGGAAUACCCAAGAUGGGGCACACUCAAACGUAAACAAGCAGAAUACAAUAGGUGCAUCUAGCAAAAACACUUCCAUUUUAAGAGAUGGUCUAACGGCAUGGCACUCAGACAGAAAAUUCAGACCAAGAAUAACAUUUUAUGAACCACCAUCAAAGUAACUUUUCAAAGAGAGGAUUAAUACAUAGGCAAAGACCAGCUAUCAUUAUUGUGGACACAUAGUCUAAGACAAUCCCAUGCCGUAGGAUGCGUGGCUGCAAUAUAUUGAACUCAGAUUUGACAAAAUCAACUCCACACAAUCCAUCAAAAUCCCAUUGAAGAAGCAUAAGAAGGUAGAAAUUUCAGCUGAAAAGUGUUUGAAGAAAGAGAAAUAGAAGAGAGAACAGUAAAAUAGGUAGUGAGAAGAGAGAAUACAAGGGAAGAGCAAGGAGAAAUUCUAUGAAUCAUUGACCCCAAAAGAAAACCAAAAUCCAUGCAAUGCCUCCCAAAAGAGCAUACGCUUUUAUGGUUUUUGACAGCAUAGGAUUGCUCCCUAAGGAAAUAUAUAAGUACAUAGAAGAUGCCACAAAGAAAGCUCACGUCUGUUGCUUCCUAUAUAGUUACUCCAUGGUUAAGUUCACACAACACUAGUUUCUAUAAGGUAAACCUGGCUUACUUUCACUGCAAUAUAUGAUAUGAGUAGACAACAACACAUAUAUCUGGAUAAACUUUUGAAAUCAGGUUUUCAGGAUCUUUUACAAAUUUGUAAUUUUAUUUACUUCACCCUCUCCCUAUUCUUAGAAAACCUAAAAUUUUGGCUCCUUCUGUCCGUUGCCUUUGCUAAUAAGCCGUUCUCUGUCUAGCCAAGCUGGUAGUAAGCCACAUUAUUACUCCAAGGAAUCAAUUCCUACCACAAUAAAACUACAUUACUCUCCUCUGCUUUCUUACAUUAGAUCUUUAGCAAGCAUCAAUAACCAACUUCCAAAUAACAAACACAACCAUACAGUUAAAUCAAAUUACCAAAAUCAAUUUCGAAAAAUAUCAUAAAAUCGUGAAACAAAGAACAUUGCAUUGCAAUGUAUUGUUAGUAUACCCAUAUCAGUAUCAUACAUAUCAUUAUCAACACCACCACCACCAUCAUCAUUAUCAUCAUAAUCCUCUUUUGACUCUAAAAUCACCAGCUCUUAUUGUCUUAACGAGCAUAGCUACAGAACCCAUUAAUGAAAAUUAAAACUUGAACUACCUAGCUUAAUCAAUAAAUACACUUCAAAAUGCCCAUUCCCAAUCUGUGACUCAUCCGCUAAUAACCCUAUUGAUAGCUGACCCAUCAAGCUACAAAUUAAUCAGAAUCAAACUCAAAACAAAGUAAUUAAAUAAUAAUAAUAAUAAUAAAACAACACAAAUAUACCGGUGAACAAAUUGACGAAUCCGAGGGUGCUUAGGGCUGAUAACGCGACGCUGAAUCCUCAAAGCAAGCCUGUAAGUCCGCUUCAGUCCCAAGAAAUACGCUGUUCCCAAUGUGAUCUCCCACAGCACCAUUCUCUCUCUUGCUAGAACUCUCUCUCUCUCUCUCACUCUCUCUGAGUCUCUCUCUGUGAGUGUAUUUAUGCACUUCUUUUUUCUAGUUUUAUGUUUAUUUAUUUUGUAUAUUUUUUUAUUAUAUUUUGACGUUUCUUUUCUCCCGAGUUAAAUCUAUGGAUUCUUUGAUUCAAGUCGCCAGAAAGUUCGAUCUUCGUUGCCCAUCACGCUUCGGUCUUGAGUGUUCAACUGUUUAUUCUGUGAGCUUCUGGAAAUUCUGAGGAAUUUAAAUUUUGCACCGAAUACAAAACAUGUGAUGAAAAGUCUAAAAUGCCCUUAUAUUGGAACGGCCAUAUGCACGCCUCUCGGCCUCUGCCUACAGUCCUACACCCAUUACAUAUGGUUGCGCGACCUUUUCUCAAGGUGACAACCAGUCUCGACCUCAAUGGUUACGUAAUUGUGGUACUCAUAUUCCUUCUCGAUCUACGUUUGGUUUUAUUUAAUUAAUUUUUUAAUUGCUCGAAUAUUAUCGAAAAUAUACAGAUUAUGAUUCGACAAUUUUUUAAUUAUUCCAUGACCAUCUAACUAUAAUUAAGCAAUUUAUCUACGUAUUAUAACUAGCAAGGAAUUAAAUUAAAAAAGUCUGUAACUUUUUUUUUUUAAAAAAAGAAAAAAUAACAAAAAAUUGAGAGAGAGAUAUAGCGGGAAAAAAAAAAGGUAUUUAGGUACUUAAGUUGUGUUGUUAUAUUGGAUGAAUGUAUUUCAUAGUAUUUUUUAUGGCAUUUUUAAAAUUUAAAAAAAAUAAUAAUAGAAAAAAAGCCCUCUACAUCUCUUCCAGGUUGAAAUUACCUAGUUAAAUAGAGAAUUUUAUUUUUUAAAAUAAAAAUUACGCCGCCGUUGACCGGCGUUAUCGAUGAUGAUCGCCAUCUUUUAUCGUGUUAAAUACAUAAUAAUGAUAAAAAAAAAUAGACGAUUUACUCAUUGGAAGUGUUAAUUUUGCAUAAAAUACACUAUAUAGUUGGAAAUAUGGGAGUUAAAAUAUUCCCAAAUAUUUAAAUAAGAUUUGAGGUAAAUAACAAUGUAUAUUAGCAUUUCUAACUCCAUAGAGUUGUAGAUCGGCUCACAAGGAUUCCAUUGGUACAUGUUUUGAUAGUGAAAUGCAUCUCCAACGAGUCUUCAGUGACGGUCUGGCGAUUCAACUUAGUGCUUUUUCUUUUUUCAAAUAAAUUAUCCUCUUAAGUUAAGAAAAUAAAUAUUAAUUAUUUGCACUUUAACUUAUUUAAAAUUAAUUUUAUUAGAGAAUAAUAAUGGAAUUUUUGUAUUCCAAUAGAUGAGAAAUUCGAAAUCCUUACCCAUUGAUAAGGAAUACAAAUUCUUCAAUAUGAUGGAAAUUUAAUUUUAAUGAAAAUUCAAUUCUAUUGAAUUUGGUCCAACCAAAUAGUGGAAAGUGAAAAAGAAAUCAAAUUCUUUUCCUCUCCCCACUCCUCUACCCCCAAGCAAACAUGGCCUAAGUGUUAAUUUUCAGAUGAGGCAUUUAAUUAAUUAGAUGAUAUGAGUAAAGAUAUUAACAAACAAAUCAUUUUCAUAUGAUAGAAUUUCUUUUGCAUCAACUAUAUCACACCUGUGUAUUUUUGGACCCUAAUUAGAUAUAAUUAUCCUCAAGUUUGGACGUCUGUCUGAUCAUAGCUUAAAUCCAAACUUGGUAGGGACGUUUGGACCGAAGCACCAUUUCAAAGAACAUACCAACUUGUUUUUCCAUUGCAACAAUUUCCUCCAAAUUACUAUAAUUCUUCAAGUACCUAAACUAGUACCGAAGAAAGUUGAUUAUAAUAAGAUUUUUCUAGGGUUAGAGUUCUCUCGAGAGUAAUAUUUUUCCUUUAAAAUAUCUAAAAGGGACCAUGGUAUAUAGAAGCAUAUCAAGGUUAAGGGUUUAUACAAUUUAAGAGUAAAUUUUCAGAAAGAGUCAAAAUGACUAUUGAUAUUUAUCAAAUUUUGGAAACUGAUGGUUGCAAGAAUGGAAUGGAAAGCUAAGGGUAAAGAAAAGGGGAAUAUAAUGGGGAAAGGAAUAUUGAUUUCUUUAAAUUGUUUGGUUUGGUCAAGGAAUAUUGAUUCUUUCGUUUGGUUACAAAAAUGGAAUGGCAAGGGGAAAGAAAACAACUAUAAUGCAAAUGAAUAAAAAUAUCCUCCACUAGAAAAUGUAUAUUUCAUCGAGUUGAAGCAAUAUCUUAGUUGUUUUGUUUUUUACUACCAAAUAUUAUAUAAUUAACUUGCAAAAGUUAGGUUCAAUUACGUAUUGUGGUUGAGCAGCACUUAAGUGUUUGUUAAAUUUCUUUUUUUAUGUGAUUUGAGAGUUAAGUUUUUUUUUCUCUUAUUUAUAUAAAGGCAUACUUUCAUAUAUGAUAAUUAAGUGCAAGAUUGUGUAAAACACACCCAAGAUUUUAUUUUUAAAAGGGGCUGACACUAAAUUAGGUCUUCUGCUCUAACCCCUACCUUAGAUCUCCCAAAUCCUGCUUUAGAGGACCCCAUCUCUUUCUUCACAAAUUUGGCAAAUUCGUUGCCAAUUGCAAUUGCAUCCAGUUUAGACAUUUUCCCUGAAUGACACUUUAUUAAAACAUCCUUGGAAAAGUAUUUGGAUGCAUAUCCCAACAUUUUAGGAUGAUUUAAUUUUACUAAAUUAAUUAAAAAGUAAGGGGAAUAAAUGAUUUUUUCUGGACUAGAGCCCAGUCUAACCCACGUGUGGGUCUGCCACUAAGUUUACUAGUUGCGACUAUAAAGCGAAAUACAAAGAGGACAAAAGCAAUAGUGAAUUAGAUAUCUCAUGCUAAACCCAUAAGGCGGCAUCCGCAUGUAAUCUCCAUGUGGAGACUUAAGAGCCAAUUAACCACCAAUUAUCGAGCGUCAGCAACUGAAUUUCUUUGCCAAAAGAGGUGGGUCCAAUGAGAUCAACUCUUAUUAUAAGAUAUAAAAUUAAAAAUUGGCAUCCCAAUUUUCUUGCAAGAGUCACAAUGCUUAUUAGAAUAUAUAUUACAGGGCUUUGGAAAUUCCAAGCACAGGCAUCUCUGCUUCCACAAUACACACAUCAUUCACAAGAAAACCAUUUCCUGCCUUGUUCAGGUAAUUGAGUUCAACAAAAUUUGUCCAACCCCCAAAUUUAUUUGAGGUAUUUAACCAUUCUCCAGCUGCGAACACGACAAUAGAAACCUUGAGUUAUUUGCAUUUAGCUACAAAACUUAUUGAACUGAAUUACCUGUUAAAGUCUGGGUUUAUAAUAAUUUACCUUUUUUUUCAUAAUGCUUUGACAGCAAUUGAUUCCGGAUUCGCAGUGUAAAAUGCACGUAUAUUUUAGAACCACCAGUUAUAGUUGACAAGUCAGUCAAUACCAAGUACAUAGAAAUAUGACUGCCACUAGCUUCUCCCAGUCCUUUGGGAAAGAGUAGUAUCUUCCUGAAGAAAAAUCAAGGGUAAAGUUUAAGUCUCUGCAUUCAAUUGUAUGUAUUAUCAAUACAUUAACUUUCAGAUGUGGCAUUUAGAUUAUUUAUAUGAAUAGAGAAACAAACAAAUUUUAACAAUUCAUUUUACAUUAUACAUUUGAAGAAGUGGUUUUAACAUGAUACAUCUUUUUAACAAGUUGUAUUAUUCAAAACUCAAAAGAAUUUCUUUUGCAUCAGAAAUCUAUUGCAGAGGUACAAAUGAACCUUAAAGUGUUAGCCAUGCUAGGGUCUAGAUUUAGUCUAUGAUAUAUUAGAGUUUAAAUUGCUGUUAAAUGUAGAACUUUGAUCAUAUUUUAAAUCCGAAUUUUAUGAACUCCGAAUGUUCGGAUUUGAACACCAUUUCAGAAAGUAUACAUACCACUUUUGAUCUCCAGCAACGAAUACUUCUGAUUCGUAAAUAUUGUCCGGUAACUUUGAAAAGUUCUUGAUCUUCCAAACAUGCUUAUAAUUGGAGGCAGAUGUCAAUUUCUUCAUGGAAAGGCACUCUCCUGUGCAUUUUUUCGUUUCUUUAACAAAUACUUCUGCUCCAAAAACACACGUAUCUCCCAUAAGAUAUCCAUUCGAAGCAUUAAUAAAUUCUUCAAGCGGGAUGAAUUGAUCAAAACCCCAUUCAAGCUUUAAUCCAUGAAAACGUCUUUGUUUACCCAUGGCAUCUAUCACAUGAAGGUGACCGGCCCAAAUCAUUGGUCAGGUCUCACUUAAAUAAUUCAACACAAAACAAUCAUAAACAUUAUUGAGUGUUUGAGUGUAAUAACUAACCUUGAAGAAUCAAGAACUCGUCUUUCUUCUGAUCAAGCACAAAUAGGCGGAAAAUCACAUAGACUUCCCAACCAAGGCCAAGUGAACUUGUGUCUACCAUAGCCAAGUAGAUUGAGAUGUGGUCUUUCACAUUUUCAUUUUUAUUUCCAUUUGGGUAGACAACAAGUUUCCUGAAACCAUCAUGAAUUCAAAAUAACAUAUUAGAUUAUGAUAUGUAAUUUAGUAAUAAGGUGAUCUGAAUAUAGUGGAGUAUCAAGGAGAAUAAUGGAAGAGAUUGCUGUCCGUAACUUAUGGAGAGUAUCAUGGAGCUUGAGAUUAUCUGAUAAAGGGGAGCUGAGAAAGAGUCAGAGAACAUACCAACUUGGUCUACAAAGUCAUUUUCCAUUGCAGCAAAUUCCUCCAAACUAUUAUAAAUCUUCAAGUACUAAAACUAGUACUAAAGAAAGAUUGAUUAUAAUAAGAUUUUUCAAGGGUUAGAGUAUUCUCUCAAGAGUAAUAGUUGUUCUUUAAAAUAUCUAAAAUGGACCAUGGUAUAUAUAAAGCACCAAGGUUGAGGGUUUAUACAAUUCAACAUUAAAUUUUCAGAAAGAGUCAGAAUAACUAUUGAUAUUCGCCAAGUUUUGGAAACUGAUGGUUGCAAGAAUGGAAUAGAAAGGGGAAUGCAAUGGGGAGAAGGGAUAUUGAUUCUUUAAUUUGUUUGGUUUGGUCAAGGAAUAUUGAUUUCUUUGCUUGGUUGCAAGAAUGGAUGGUAAGGGGCAAGAAAACAACUACAGUGCAAAUGAACAAGAAUAUGUACCCUCCACUCAAAAAACGUGUAUUUCGACGAGCUGAAGCAAUAUUUUAGUUGUCUAUUUUCUAUUAUCAACUAAUAUAUAAUUAGCUUCCAAAAUUUAAGCCCGAUUUAGGACUAUGUUUCAGCAGCACUUAAGUGUUCUGUAAAUACUUAUUGAUUUAAAUUCAUUUUAUUUUACACUCGUAAGAUAAAAAAAAGUCUAUAGUACCUUACCUAUUGCGACUGGCAGAAUACAGAGAGAAAAAAAAAAGCAACAAUAAAUAAGAUAUCGCAGGCUAAACUCAUAAGAAGGCAUCCCCAUGUAGUCUCCAUGUGGAGACUUAACAACCAAUUAACCGCCAAUUAUCGAGCGGCAACAAUUGAAUUUCUUUGUCAAAAUAUAUAGGUACGAUGAGAUUAACUCUUAUUAUAAGAAAUACAAUUAAAAAACUUGGCAUCCCAAUUUUCUUGCAAGAGUAGCAAUGCUUAUUAGAGUAUAUUACAGGGCUUUGGAAAUUCUAAGCACAGACACCUCUGCUUCAGCAUUGCACACAUCGUUCACAAGAAAACCAUUGCUUGCCUUAUUCAAGUAACUGAGUUCAACAAAUUAGUGCCAGCCCCAAUCUUUAAUUGAGUUCCUAAACCAUGUGCUGGCUGCAGGAACAACAAUAGAAACCUGAAGUCACUACUAGAAAAAUGGCUUUUACUGACACUCCUCUUCUGACACUUUUCUAAAAAGUAUCAGUAGUUACAUAUAUUUGGGUCAUUUUCCGUGUUUAACAGACAAGUUCACAAGUUACUAAUUCUAUGGUGUUUGUAGAUUAAACAUAAGAGAUUAUCGACACUAUGGUAUCAGAAAUAACAACAAAAAAGUCUAUUUUUGUUUUAAUUGCUACUCGAACCUAAGACCUCAAAACUGGAGUGCUUUAUGUUCAAACAACAAACCACCAGGCCAAAUUCGUAUUUUAGUUUAUGUUGAAAAUGUUCAAAUUAUCAUAUUAAAAUAACAACAAUAUAAAGCAAAAGCAAAAAACCCUAAAAUCAACAUAAACAUAAAAUUCUCUAACUUCUAAUUCUAUGGCCAGCCGCCUCAUCUCUCUGGCAAGAUCCUUCUUCUUCUUCGUACCUCUAAAAAUUCUCCCCUUCGAGCCCUAAAAUUCAAGGGUCCAUGCCAUGGGAAAUCCUAACAACAUUGCUCAAAUUCUAAGACCCAUACCAUACGAAACCCUAACGAGCUACAUGAGGUUGCGAAACAUCCACCAUGCCACUAUGCCACAAGCUCAGAAGAUCCUCUUUAGAUCUCCACAUUUUGCUCACCCUACUCAAGUGCGCACCGCCCCUCUCGCUUCGACUUCUCGGGAUUUCUUGUUAGCUGAACUUUUGUUUUCUUCUGCUAAUUUGAUCUUCGACUGCCGUAUGGUUAGAUCGGUUCGCUUGGACUCCAUCAUGAUGGACAAAUCAUGUGCGAGGCCUAAGACACUGUUGUUAAAGGUCGAAUCACUAUUUUAGCCUCAAUUGAGAUUUUAAUUUGUUCAUCUAAUUGGAAAAUUAAUGCUUUGAAUUGUAUUGUGUUAAUUUCUUUGGAUAUGCUUAACUGAAUUAUUGCAUACUCAACUAAAUUAAAGGUUAGAUCAUCAUUUCUUAGUUCAAUCUGUAGUUUUAUUUUUUAAUUUUUAGGUGGUAGUUUGCUGAUGUAUUAACUUUAUACUUGUAUGAAGGUAAAUAGAAUUGCAUUGGCUAGGACUCACAGAACAUGUAAUUAAUCACUGUAAAUUGAUUCUUAAGCUAGUUUCCUGAAGGCACUAACAUUGGGUAAAGGUUUUUCAUGUUUAGAUAAUUUCAUUCAAAUUGGAUUAAUAUACCCUAGCGUAGCUAGUUCCUGUGCGACUUAUUGACACGAAAGGACAAUUUAAUUCAAAGUGAACUAAUUAAGCAAGCUUUUCUUUUUAAUUUAGGUUAAUAUGAUCAAGUUGAGGUUAUCAUCUAUUUAUGAAUAUCAUUUCUUCCAAACGAUUAUUUCCUUAUUCCUCUAAUGUGUUCAGUUGGAUACUAAUACUUUCUACAAUGAGUUAUGGAAGAUUGCUCUGAAAGCGAAGACUUUGGCAGUGUGAUUGUUGUCGAUAUUAGGGAAAUCCAUUAUGCUUUUGUGGAAUUUGUGGAGCUUUGAUUACAACUUAUGUUAUUUCUCUUCUCGUGUAGGAAAUAUGAUCAUAUAGUUUCAUAUUUACAAACUCUUUCCAUAUGUUAUUGUACCAUUGAGGCUUACACAAUGACACAACUUAAAAACUUUUAAAAUAGUGGAGAAGAUCAACUUUUUGUUUUACAAUAACAUAAUGUUUCUAGUAGUUAAUUUUAUUAUCUCUUGUCUUCUUGCAAUUUAUUGGAACUAAUUCUUAAUUUCAAUAUGAGGUAUUUUCUUCGAUUUGGUUUCUAUCAGCAUGAUCUAUGUUAACAUGUUACAGACCAUGUCACUGUUAGAAGUGGUGGCCCUGGGGGCCAGAGUGUGAACAAAAGUAUGCUAUUCACUUUUUCAUUUUCACCUAUAUUCCCUUACAAACUUGGCCUCACGACUUCUACCAAGGUUGCUUUUAUUUAAUCUUACAGCGAACAUUAAGGUUUUUCUGUUGAAUAUCAUAAAAAUCAUAUUUCUUUUAUUUUAUAUGCAGGGGAUUUUGACAACUCUGUCUAGGAUACAAGUAUGACUAUGUGACAUAUCCAUUUCUUGUUGAAGUUUUCAUGGUAAUUCUAAUUCUGUGGCUUUGGUUGGUGAUCUUUUAGCUUAAUGAGUUAUUGCAUUUUAAAACUUUAAUGCUAUUUAAAACCUCUAUUUUGGUUGAGUGUGCAUUUCUUUUACCUAUUAGCUCUAAUCAAUCAUCUCUACACGAUUUAACAGAUAUGCACUUGCAUACUUUCUUAACCUGUGUUAGUUUACUAUAAAAUUUUGCCUUAUAUAUUUAAAGGUUUUGUUUUAUCUUUAUUUAUAAUUACUUUUUUCUUUCUAUAUGGAAAACCCUAAUUUUGAUUUCCUUUAGGGUUGAAGUUUUUGGUUGGAGCUGGGCUUUAUGAAAGAAAGCACAGAAGAACUUUCAAUCUAUCAUUUCAAAACAGUCUCUCUGAACUAAACAAGAGUACAGCUAUGAUCUCCAGCUUUGGACGUUAGUACUUGUGCUUCUCCAAAAUCUUCACAUCACCUAAAGAGAGACAGCAAUUUAAGAAUGUGCUCAUAAUAAUGAAAUUAGUUCUGGUAUCCGAGCAUUGUAGCUUGAUUGGAUAAUAAGUUCACAGGAAUACAUAUGAGACUCUCUUACUGCUUCACCGACAGGUACUACAAGAAGCUGGCAAACAUGUUGCUUUGACAUCAAGGGUUCAACAUAAUGCCAAAACAGCAAAAACAUUUUGUUAAAAGUUUGAUAUGGCAAAUCUAAAAGAUAAGUUGAUUCAAAUCCCAUAAUGGGCACACAGACAAUCUAGAAUGAGAGAAUGCAGGUUGCAGUUGCGAAUAUUCAACGAUCAACUGAGUUGAUAGUAACUUCUCUUAAUCCUUUAAAGGAUUGGCUUUGUUCCAUAAUUGGUUAAAUCACAAAUUCAGCAACCUAGCCUAUCCAAUAUGUCAUAAGAUCACAUAUUUAGAAGCUGAUUUUAUUAUGAAAGGCACAGGGCCAUUCUAAGUCAGAUAGGGAAGAAUAAUUGCUUUCAGGGAGGAGCCCAGUGGUCUCUCAUAUUGCAUAUGAUAUCAAGUCAAUGUGAACCAUUCACAUCAGCUUACAACCAAGCUGAAGUAGAAAUGUCAGGAUGCACGAUGAACUAGUUGAAGUACUAUUCUAAAGUUUUUCCAUCCAUAUUCUUAUAUAUUUAACGCAAAUAAAAUACAGAUUGGUACUUUGUUAUAGUUGUAUUCAAGCACAUAUUUGGCCUCUGUACAACUAAACUUCAAUGGAGCUCAUAAGAGUGGAAGCAAUAAGUUCAUCGGAUUAGCCAAGAUGGGGCACACUCAAAAGUAGACAAGUAGAGUACAACAGGUGCAUCUAACAAGAAAACUUCCAUUUUAAGAGAUGGUCUAGUGGCAUGGCACUCAGACAGAAAAUUCAGACCAUGAAUAACAAGUUAUGAACCACCAUCAAAGUAACUUUUCAAAGAGAUGAUUAAUACAUAGCCAAAGACAAGCCAUCAUAAUUGUGGACUGUUCAAAGAGAUGAUAAUACAUAGGCAAAUACAAGCCGUCAUAAUCGUGGACACAUAUCCUAAGAUAAUCCCAUUCCGCAGGAUGCAUUGCUGCAACAUAUAGAAUUCAGAUUCGACGCAAUCAACUCCACAUAAUCCAUCAAAAUCCCAUUGAAGAGGCAUUAGAAGGUAGAAAUUUCAGCUAAAUUUUUUUUGAAGAAAUGGAAAUAGAAGAAAGAAUCGUACCAUAGGUAGUGAGAAGAGAGAAUAGAAGGGAAGAGCAAGGAGAAAUUCUAUGAAUCUUUGACCCCAAAAGAAAACCAAAAUCCAUACAAUACCUCCCUAAAGAACACACGCUUUUAUGGUUUUUGAUGGCAUAGGAGUCUGCUGUACCGUACAUCCGCCUUGGCCGUACAGCAGACUUACUCAAGUCUGUAACAUUGCCAUGGCUAAAUAGAAAUUUCACUUUCCUUGCCAAGUGAAAGAAAGGAGGAAUUUUGAUGUAAUCAAUGCUUGGUAAGGUCUAGACAGUAGUAUCAAUCAUACUUCCUAUGUACAAAAUUUUCUUCACUUGGUGUUGGAAGCAAUUGUUAUUGUUGCAGUCCUGUUUUAUUUAUACCUAGAGCAGGUUCAGGAUUGAGAUGUUGUUAAUAUUUUGGUUUAGUUAAUUAUUGAAAUUCAUAUUCUUGUCUUAAGAACCAGUUUCAAUGACUUUGUUUGAAUGUUCAAAUAUUUGUGCAGGAUAUUCGUAUGCUCUAAACCUUCUGUAUAUAUUUCUCAACUUUUGAUGAGCUUACAAAGCAUGGACUCUGUAUUCUGAUUGCUGCAUGUUUCUACUCUUUCUUCCUUUGUUUUAAAGCAUGAACUCUGUAUUCUGAUUGCUGCAUGUUUCUACUCUUUCUUCCUUUGUUUUAAAGCAUGAACUCUGUAUUCUGAUUGCUGCAUGUUUCUACUCUUUCUUCCUUUGUUUUAAAGCAUGAACUCUGUAUUCUGAUUGCUGCAUGUUUCUACUCUUUCUUCCUUUGUUUUAAAGCAUGAACUCUGUAUUCUGAUUGCUGCAUGUUUCUACUCUUUCUUCCUUUGUUUUAAAGCAUGAACUCUGUAUUCUGAUUGCUGCAUGUUUCUACUCUUUCUUCCUUUGUUUUAAAGCAUGAACUCUGUAUUCUGAUUGCUGCAUGUUUCUACUCUUUCUUCCAUGUGCAAAGGAAGGAUUAUAAGCCAAUAUUCAUAAAAAUAACCAUUCCAUAGUCAUAUUAUAAGUUAUAAAGUUUAAGUCAAUAGAUUUCACAAUAAUUUGUAUGCAACCGUAACUGCAAUUGUGGGAAAUAAAUUAGGAUAAAUAUCAUCUCAACCAUAACUGCCAUUGGAUUAAUUAUAGUCAUAUUAUAAGUUAUAAAGUUCAAUUUAAUGGUAAUUACGUCAUUUUUUUAUUUUUGUUAAAUCAAGUUUUUUUUUUUAUGUUUGAGUUUUGUGUUGUGAAUUUGAUAAAAGUUUAUUUCUGUUAACCAUUGUUUCUCUCACAUGGUUGGAAAUUAACAAGCAAUUUUUUUCCCUUUUCCAUGUAUUCAUUUGCAGAUUUGAUCAAUGUGUUUGAAGUUUCUUUUUCCUCAACUUCACUUGUAUUCUAACCCAUCCACUAUUGAAUGGAGAAUGGAGAAGCUACUGUUGUGUUAACGUAAUUGCACUACUUAUGUUCAAAGAGUGGAGGCAAUCAUCCUUUUCAUUUUAGAUUCUAGAAAUGUUAAAUUUAGCCACAACUAGUAGGCAUCUGAUUAGAUGUGGCAGAAAUUUUUAUGUAUUUAAUUUAGAUUAUUCAGUUAUGAGAGUGAGAUUUCUCAUCUCUUGUUUGUUGGAGUGUUGGAAUUUGUAAUGUGUACUAACGGUAUUUUUAGUGCACUUGAUCCUGGAUUUGCAGUGUGAAACAACGGUAUUUUUAAAACCACAGAGUUACAGUUGAGAAGUCAGCCAAAUACCAGGUGCAUAGAAGUAUGACUGCCAGGUCCUUCUCUCUGUCCCUUGGGAUAGAGGUAUAUCUUCCUGAAAAAAUGAACAAGGGCAAAGUUUAAGUCUCGGCAUUCAAUUGUACAUAUUUACUAAGAGGUUCCACUUUAACAAAUUAUUAAAACAUUAACUUUCAAUUGUGCCAUUUAGAUUGUAUAUAUGAACAGACAAACAAACAAAUUUUUGCAAAUCAUUCAGAGAAGUGGUUUUAACAUGAUGCACCUUUUUAACAAGUUGUACUAUUCAAAUUUCUUAUGUAUUACCAUUAGAAACAUAUCGCACAAGUCUAAAUGAACCUUAAGUAUUAGUCCUGUUCAGGUACAGAUGUCUAGAUUAGGCUAUUAUAUAUUAGAGUUGUGCAUCGUUAUAAAAUGUACAACUUUGAUUAUAGUUCGAAUCGAGAUUUCAUAAACUAUGAACGUCUGGACUUGAGCAUCAAAUCCAGAUUUUGGUCUCCAGCAAUGAAUAUUUCUGAUUCGUAACGCUUUGAGUGCAACUUUGAGAGGUUCUGGAUCUUCCAAACAUGCUUAUAAAUGGAAGCAGUUGUGAAUUUCAUCAUGAAAGGCACUCUCCUUUGCCUUUGUUCCUUUCUUAGCAAAGACUUCAGCUCCAAAAACACACGUAUGUCCUUCAAGAUAUCCAUUCGAAGCAUCGUUAAAUUCCCAAUUGAUCAAAACCUAAUUCAAGCUUCUUUCAUUUCCCAUGGCAUCUAUUUCAUGAAGGUGACCCCAAAUCAUUGAUUAACUCUUAGUUAAAUAAUUAAAUAAGAACAAAAUAAUCAUAAACAUUGUUGAGUAUAAUAAUUGACCUUGAAGAAUCAAGAACUCGUCUCUUUUCUGACCAAGCACAAAUAAAAAUCUAAUAUCUAGUUCACUGUUGUGGACUGUUAUGACCAUUGAUAUUCACCAAAUUAAUUAUCUUAUUUUGCAGUAACAUAUUUUUGUGAAACGUAACAAAGUAGUACUUUAGCUACUGAUCCUUUUUUUUAGUUUAGAAACUACUUCUUUUGAAUUCUUAAACGUCCAUAAAUGAUAUUCCUUUUAUGUAAUAUUAAUUUCUUGCUUUAUUGUACUCAAUUUAUCUUAUCAAUACUUCUCUUUAAUUAAAAACUACGAGUUUUUGUCACCAUCUCACUUGUUAAUAUUUGAUAGAUGUGAUUUUAUUCCAGGAUUAAGAUUGUCAGAGAUUUCCUUCCAGGAUUAAGAAUUAUGUCAAUGAACAAACGUGAUCACAUAAGUUAGCCAUAAAAUCAAUGAAUUUCUUUAUUUCGUGAGAAACCAAGAAGAAUACUUGUUAUUACAAUGCCUCGGAGAUUCUGAGCACAGUGAUCUCAGCUUCCACAACGCAAACGUCGUUCACAAGUGACCCAUUCUCUGGGUCAUUUAACUUACUCAAUGAAACGAAUCUCGACCAACCCCACUUAUUAUCGCCUGGUGCAUGGAACCUUUCUCUACUUCCUAGAGAAAAAGAAUCAUUCUCAUUAUACACAUUAUUUGAAUUCUAUAGCCUCAAAUUAAGUUUAUUAUUAUUAUUAUUUUAGGUUAAAGGUACUUUUAAAAUCAAAAGUUAAAGAAAACUGCUUAGAAAAUCAAAAUCACUCGGUCAAGCUGCCAGUGGCAACUAAAUUAGUUGCGUAUUAAAACAAGCAAUAUGCCUUAAGAAGAUUCAUGCAUUGCCCGAACUUGAUCCAAUAUUCGAAAUGUAAACUCUGCGUAUACUUUAACAGUACUCCGAACUGUGGAAUCUCCAAAAACCAAGAACAAGGAAAGAUAAUCACCAGCAUCGGGCCCAGCUCCCAUGGGUGUAGCUCUGUCUUCCUGAAAACACCGAAACGGUAUUUCAUUAAUUGUACACUCACUGACAACUUUGUCCCAAGAACUCAUUAUUUAUUAUACCUGUAGAAAUUUAAAAAAAAAAUUAAAAUCUUUGAUACCAUUUGUGAUUUCCGUCGUCGAAAACUUGUGAUUCCUCAUAUCCUGCGUCUAACUUUGAAAAGUUCUCGAUCUUCGAAAUACACUUACAACUAAUUGAAAUUUCUUUGAAUUUGUUUCUUUCUUUAACAAGGACUUCAGCUUCAAAAACACACGUAUCUUCGACAAGGUAUCCAUUCGAAGCAUCAUUGAAAGCUCUAAGCGGGAUGAAUUUAUCGAAACCCCAUACAUGCUUCAGUCCAUUAAACCGUCUUUCCUUUCCCAUGAUAUCUAUCAUAUUACAAGCAACCACUCAUUAUGCAUGCAUUCAAUUUUUUUCCUAAUGUUGCAAUAUACAAUUCUGCACACUAAAUUUGAUUUAACCUUGAACUACACAGUAGUUUUCUUGGUUCUGAUUAAGUAAGAACAGACGAAAAACUGCAGAGACUUCCCAAUCCAAAGUAAAUGAACUUGUGUUAUUAAGGAUAAGAAAAUAUAUAUAUGUACCACUUGUAUCCUCCAACUUCAAAUUCUCCUGAUUCAUAUUCCUCUUCUGCUUUUUCCGCAAGUAAUGAAAAUGAUUUUAUUUUUACAAUGAAAUGAGCCGGUGGUAGUGAAGUGUAUCUUGCAAUGGCUAUACAUUUAAGUGAUUUUGUAAUUAACACCGAUUGAUUAGAAAUAAAAAUAAGCUGAAAAUUUUAAUAAUAUUGUCCUCUAGAGAACGUGAGAAAAGGUUGAACAUACAUACCAUCUUUGUUAAACAAAGAUAUUUUCCAUUGCGAAAAGUUCUCCAAAAAGUUGUUGAAUUUUUAUUUUUAUUUUUGGUAACUUUGACAGCACGAAGUCCUUUUAAAUAAAAGAAAAAUAAAAUUACUGGGAGGAGGUACUGCGUUUUAUCUUUCCAAAAAAUUCAUAGAAUCUAGAACACAAAAAUGUGAUGCUUGAAAAUACAAUGAAUAAACAUAAUUUAAGCAAAUAUACAAUGAAUCUUCAUUAAUUACUAAAUUAGGGGAUAAAUAAAAAAAUUUAACAGAAAGCCUAAUGAUUGGACUGUUUACAUCCUACUUUCUAAUUGACCAAACUCGAAAAUAUAAACUCAAUCGAAAUUUUCUUUGGUUUGUACUAAUCUUCGUUACAGCGCUUAGAAAAUUCUAAGCUCAUGUAGCGAUUGUUCAUUUCACAGAUUAUUUUGUGGGGAGAAAUUUCUUGAUUGUUAAUAAUUAAACAUAACAAAUAUAUAGAUAUUAAUCUCAUGUAUAAUAAUGAUCAAGUAUUAAAAUGUACUCCAAAGCUCAAAGCUGAAGUAAGUCUAGAUCGAAAGAAUAUCCCUAAGUUGAAAAUGUAUAAGAAUGUUGAAAAAUACGAUAUUAUUGAAUCCUAAUUAAUCAACGUAAAUAUGCCAAUAUGUUUUUGAACAGGUUGCGGUGGAAAGAAUUCAUAUUGGCUUGCUGGGAUAAUUUUGGUUAGCAUAAUUUGCUUCUAUGGCUACGGAAAGUUACCCUUUCACAAUAUCUCUCUAGCAUUACAUUAUUAUCUGGUCUCAUCUUGAGAGUGGAGAUUCUCGCUGGAGAUCCCAAUAUGAAUCCCGAGCAUUUUAUGUUAUUGUCAUUUCUAACUUUAUUAUUUUUUCCAAUUCCAUAUUGGAUUCACCUGGUAGAAGCAUAAGCUAGCAAACAUGAAAUGAACCAUGAGCAGGAAGUGAGUUUCUGUCGAAUAAUUUUUUUUUUAAUUGCAAAUUGAGUUGGUGGUACUGAUAAGGACAUGUUUUUAGGGGAUAAACAAAAAGCCUAAUGAUUGGACUGUUUACAUCCUGCUUUCUAAUUGACCAAACUCGAAAAUACAAACUCAAUCGAAAUUUUCUUUGGUUUGUACUAAUCUUCGUUACAGCGCUUAGAAAAUUCUAAGCUCAUGUAGCGAUUGUUCAUUUCACAGAUUUUUUUGUGUGGAGAAAUUUCUUGAUUGUUAAUAAUUAAAGUAAACAUAACAAAUAAAUAGAUAUUAAUCUCAUGUAUAAUAAUGCGCAAGUAUUAAAAUGUUCUUCAAAGCUCAAAGCUGAAGUAAGUCUAGAUCGAAAGAAUAUCCCCAAGUUAAUAUUGAAAAAUACGAUAUUAUUGAAUCCUAAUUAGAUCCAACCAAAGCUUUGUGCAUAACAGCCUAGAUGAUAUAUUUAUGUUAAUUAAUUAAUCAACGUAAAUAUACUAAUAUGAUAAUAGCGGUAGUUCAAAAGGUUUGGGUUUCGAAUUCGGAUUACAUUAGGGUUGAGGGGUUGAUUGAAUUAUAUUGCGAAAUGGGGAAAAAAUAGAAAUAAUAAAGAAAAACAUCUUGCAUAUUGAAUAUCUUUUUUCUUUUUUCUUUUUUCUUUUGACGAUAAGUUAACUUAAAAUUUGCCUUAAUUUUAAUCCUAAAAAAUUAAGAAAAUAAAUUAAGUCCUAACUAAACUGAAAACAAAAAUGACUCGAAUACGACCAAUUUGAUUGAUUAUAAUUUGUAAUAUAAUUUUACCAAAACAGAACCAUGAUUGAUUAUUACACCUUGCAUGUUAACAACCAAAAGAUCUCUUUGUUUGAUGAGAAUUUGCAUGAAUUGAAAUUCAAACAUGGGCAAAGUGUUGAUGGAGCAGUGAUACCAGAAAAGAACAUAACCUUCCUCCCUCGCAUAUAAUGUCAAACAACUACAAGACCGCUAGCUAGCUCUUCAAAGUUACUGAAGUCCAAAACAGAGCCACGAUUAUCACUAGCUGAUACAUGAAUAGAAGCAUCAAUUUUGAUUUGAUCACCAUCAAAAUUUCUGAAACAAGUUGAUUGACAAAAGGGAAACUAAAUUCUGCUUGGCCGAAAAUCAUGUGAAGUGGGACCCGAAAACUUAUAACCAAAACCCGAAAGCAAAGUCUCAGAAAUUUAUAAAAAAUGAUACCACCAAGCAUACUAAAGUCAUAUGAGGUGGGUCAUCAACUAGAUAUCACAUGCUAAACCCAUAAGGCGGCCGCUGCAUGUAAUCUCCAUGUGGAGACUUAACAACCAAUUAACCACCAAUUAUCGAGCGUCAACAUCUGAAUUUCUUUGCCAAAAGAGGUGGGUACAAUGAGAUCAACUCUUAUUAUAAGACAUAAUAUUAAAAGUUGGCAUCCCAAUUUUCUUGUAAGAGUCACAAUGCUCAUUAGAAUAUAUAUUACAGGGCUUUGGAAAUUCCAAGCACAGGCACCUCUGCUUCCACAAUGCACACAUCAUUCACAAGAAAACCAUUUCCUGCCUUGUUCAGGUAAUUGAGUUCAACAAAUUUUUUCCAACCCCCAAAUUGGGUUGAGGUAUUUAACCAUUCUCCAGCUGCGAACACGACAAUAGAAACCUUAAGUUAUUUGCAUUUAGCUACAAAGCUUAUUGAACUGAAUUACCUGUUAAAGUCUGGGUUUAUAAUAAUUUACCUUUUUUUUCAUAAUGCUUUGACAGCAAUUGAUUCCGGAUUCGCAGUGUAAAAAGCACGUAUAUUUUAGAACCACCAGUUAUAGUUGACAAGUCAAUCAACCGCAAGUACAUAGAAAUAUGACUGCCGCUAGCUUCUCCCAGUCCUUUGGGAAGGAGUAGUAUCUUCCUGAAAAAAAAUCAACAGGGGUAAAGUUUAAGUCUCUGCAUUCAAUUAUACAUAUUAUCAAUACAUUAACUUUCAGAUGUGGCAUUUAGAUUAUAUAUGUGAAUAGAGAAACAAACAAAUUUUAACAAUUCAUUUUACAUUAUACAUUUGAAGAAGUAGCUUUAACAUGAUGCAUCUUUUUAACAAGAUGUAUUAUUCAAAACUCAAAAGAAUUUCUUUUGCAUCAGAAAUUUAUUGCAGACGUACAAAUGAACCCUAAGUGUUAGCCAUGCUCGGGUCUAGAUUUAGUCUAUGAUAUAUUAGAGUUUUAAAUUGCUGUUAAAUGUAGAACUUUGAUCAUAUUUUAAAUCCGAUUUUUAUGAACUCCGAAUGUCCGGAUUUGAACACCAUUUCAGAAAGUAUACAUACCACUUUUGAUCUCCAGCAACGAAUACUUCUGAUUCAUAAAACCGGUCCUCUAACUUUGAAAAGUUCUCGAUCUUCCAAACAUGCUUAUAAUUGGAAGCAGAUGUCAAUUUCGUCAUGGAAAGGCACUCUCCUGUGCAUUCUUUCGUUUCUUUAACAAAUACUUCUGCUCCAAAAACACACGUAUCUCCCACAAGAUAUCCAUUCGAAGCAUUAAUAAAUUCUUCAAGCGGGAUGAAUUGAUCAAAACCCCAUUCAAGCUUUAAUCCAUGAAAACGUCUUUGUUUACCCAUGGCAUCUAUCACAUGGAGGUGACCGGCCCAAAUCAUUGAUUAGGUCUCACUUAAAUAAUUAAGCACAAAACAAUCAUAAACAUUAUUGAGUGUAAUAACUAACCUUGAAGAAUCAAGAACUCGUCUUUCUUCUGAUCAAGCACAAAUAGGCGGAAAAUCACAUAGACUUCCCAACCAAGGCCAAAUGAACUUGUGUCUACCAUAGCCAAGUAGACUGAGAUGUGGUCUUUCACAUUUUCAUUUUUAUUUCCAUUUGGGUAGACAACAAGUUUCCUGAAACCAUCAUGAAUUCAAAAUAACAUAUUAGAUUAUGAUAUGUAAUUUAGUAAUAAGGUGAUCUGAAUAUAGUGUACAAUUAGGUUUUGGGCCACACCACUUGUAGCCUCCAGCAUCAAAUUCCAAGGAUUUAUAAUUUUCCACGUCAUUCUCCACAAGAGAUGAAAAUGCCUCUAUUUUGAGUAAGAAAUGUGCCGGUGGUACAUGUGAAAUGGAUCUCGAAAUUGCUGUCAAGAGUAAUUUUAACAUUGAUCAGAAAAUAACAGGCUAGAAAUUUUCAAUGCACAUAUAUAAACAUAUAUAGAGAAGGGGAGGUGGGGAAAGAGUCAGAGAACAUACCAACUUGGUCUACAAAGUCAUUUUCCAUUGCAGCAAAUUCCUCCAAACUAUUAUAAAUCUUCAAGUACUAAAACUAGUACUGAAGAAAGAUUGAUUAUAAUAAGAUUCUUCAAGGGCUAGGGUAUUCUCUCAAGAGUAAUAUUUCUUCUUUAAGAUAUCUAAAAGGGACCGUGGUACAUAUAAAGCAUCAAGGUUGAGGGUUUAUAUAAUUCAACAUUAAAUUUCUAGAAAGAGUCAGAAUGACUAUUGGUAUUCACCAAGUUUUGGAAAAUGAUGGUUGCAAGAAUGGAAUGGAAAGGGGAAUGCAAUGGGGGAAAAGGGAUAUUGAUUCUUUAAUUUGUUUGUUUUGGUUUUUUUUUUUUUUUUUUUUAAUAAUGCCACUGUUUUAGUGAAAGACUGCUGUACGGCCAAGGCGGAUGUACGGUACAGCAGAUCUAAAUAUAGCGUACUAUUAGGUUUUGGGCCACACCACUUGUAGCCUCCAGCAUCAAAUUCCAAAGAUCCAUACUUUUCCACAUCAUUCUCCACAAGAGAUGAAAAUGCCUCUAUUUUGAGUAUGAAAUGUGCCGGUGGUACAUGUGAAAUGGAUCUUGAAAUUUCUGUCGAGAGUAAUUUUAACACUGAUCAGAAAAUAGCAGGCUAGAAAUGUUCAAUGCACAUAUACAAACAUACAUAGAGAAGGGUAGCUGGGGAAAGAGUCAGAGAACAUACCAACUUGGUCUACGAAAUCAUUUUCCAUUGCAACGAAUUCCUCCAAACUACUGCAAUUCUCCAGGUACUAAAACUAGUACUAAAGAAAGAUUGAUUAUAAUAAGAUUUUUCAUGGGUUAGAGUAUUCUCUCAAGAGUAAUAGUUGUUCUUUAAAAUAUCUAAAAGGGACCAUGAUAUAUACAAAGCACCAAGGUUGAGGGUUUAUAUAAUUCAAUAUUAAAUUUUCAGAAAGAGUUAGAAUAACUAUUGAUAUUCGCCAAGUUUUGGAAACUGAUGGUUGCAAGAAUGGAAUGGAAAGGGGAAUGCAAUGGGGAGAAGGGAUACUGAUUCUUUAAUUUGUUUGGUUUGGUCAAGGAAUAUUGAUUUCUUUGCUUGGUUGCAAGAAUGGAAGGGAAGGGGCAAAAAAACAACUACAAUACAAAUGAACAAGAAUAUGUACCCUCCACUCAAAAAACAUGUAUUUCAACGAGCUGAAGUAAUAUUUUAGUUGUUCUAUUUUCUGUUAUCAAAUAUUAUAAAAUUAGCUUCCAAAAUUUAGGCCCGAUUUAGUAAUAUCAUUACAAUUUACUAUCAAAUAUUAUAAAAUAUUUUCGAUUAUCAAAUGUAAUGAGCCGGUGGUAGUGAAGUGUAUCUUGCAAUGGCUAUACAUUUAAGUAAUUUUUAAUUAACACCGAUUGAUUCGAAAUAACAAGAAGCUGAAAAUUUUAAGAAUAUUGUCCUCUAGAGAACGUGAGAAAAGAUUGAACAAACAUACCAUCUUUGUUAAACAAAGAUAUUUUCCAUUGCGAAAAGUUCUCCAAAAAGUUGUUGAAUUUUUAUUUUUAUUUUUAUUUUUAGAAACUUGGACCGCACUAAGUCAAUUUAAAUAAGAGAAAAAUAAAAUUACUGGGAGGAGUCACUGAGUUUUGUCUCUCAAAAAAUUCAUAGAAUCUAGAACAUAAAAAUGUGAUGCUUGAAAACACAAUGAAUAAAACUAAUUUAAGCAAAUAUACAAUGAAUCUUCAUUAAUUACUACAUUAGGGGAUAAAUAAAAAAAUUUAAUAAAAAGCCUAAUGAUUGGACUGUUUACAUCCUACUUUCUAAUUGACCAAACUCGAAAAUAUAAACUCAAUCGAAUUUUUUUUUGGUUUGUACUAAUCUUCGUUACGGCGCUUAGAAAAUUCUAAGCUCAUGUGAUUGUUCAUUUCACAGAUUAUUUUGUGGGGAGAAAUUUCUUGAUUGUUAAUAAUUAAAGUAAAAAAAUAACAAAUAAAAAGAUAUUAAUCUCAUGUAUAAUAAUGUUCAAGUAUUAAAAUUUACUUCAAGCUCAAAGCUGAAGUAAGUCUAGAUCGAAAGAAUAUCCCGAAGUUAAAAAUGAACAAGAAUAUUGAAAAAUACGAUAUUAUUGAAUCCUAAUUAGAUCCAUCCACAGCGUUGUGCAUAGCAGCUUAGAUGAUAUAGUUAUGUUAAUUAAUUAAUCAACUAAAUAUGCCAAUAUGAUAUUCAAACAUGGGCAAAGUUUUAAUGGAGCAGUGAUACCAGAAAAAACAUAACCUUCCUCCCUCGCAUAUAAUGUCAAACAGCUACAAGACCACCAGCUAGCUCUUCAAAGGUACAGAAUCCAAAACAUAGCCACGAUUAUCACUAGCUCACUUAUUGCACUGAUUCAUGAAUAGAAGCAUCAAUUUUGAUUUGAUCACCAUCAAAAUUUCUGAAACAAAUUGACCGACAAAAGGGAAACUAAAUUCUGCUUGGCCGAAAAUCAUGUGACGUGGGACCCGAAAACUUAUAACCAUAACCCCGAAACAAAGUCUCAGAAAUUUAUAAAAAAUGAUACUACCAAGCAUACUAAAAUCAUAUGAGGUGGGUCAUCAAUUUUCUCUUCUUUUUUUUUUUCUUUUUCUUUUUUGGCCUUCACGCUCGUUGGUUCAAUUGCCUUCAUACUACCAAAAAAAUGAAUUUUUUGCUCGUUGGUUGCUGCACAAAUUGAAUGUUACCUCCCGACUUUAAUCAAAGGCGAAGAGAUUGAUGAUUAAGAGUAUGUCAUGUGAAUGACAAGUUGUUCUAUCAUCUCAUUGUAGGUUGCAUUAAAAUUUAAUGAGGUAAAAAUUGGUGCGGAUUUUAUUGGGUUUUAUGCCUGUUAAUCAUGUCUCGACUGUUCUUAUUUCUGGAAAGUUUUCCUCGGUCAUGAUUGUUUACGCAAGCAUUAGGAAAAAUCAUAAUUCUUUACCUUAUUGUUUUAUUUACUUCCACAUUGUUGAAAAGAUUCACUUCUUUUGACAUUUAAGCUAUAUCUUCCUCUGUUUUUGAACAGGUUGAGGUGGAAAGAAUUCAUAUUGGUUUGCUGGAUAAUUUUGGUUUGCAGAAUUUGCUUCUAUGGCUACGGAAAGUUACCCUUUCACGUUAUAGUAUUACAUUAUUAUCUGGUCGAGAUCCUAGGCUUUUCCCUUAUUUUAUUUUCAAGUAAUAUUUUGGCGGAGGGAAUCCCAAGCUUUUUUGUUAUUGUCAUUCCUAACUUUAUUAUUUUUUCCAAUUCCAUGUUGGAUUCACCUGGUAGAAGCAUAAGCUAGCAAAGAUGAAAUGAACCAAGAGCAGGAAGUGAGUUUCUGUCGAUUAAUUUCUUCUUCUUUUUUAAUUGCAAAUUGAGUUGGUGGUACUGAUAACGACAUGUUUUUUCUUCAUUAUUUCUUUUAAAUAAAAAACUAAAGCUCCUAUUAUACACAGGAAACGCCAUUGCCUCAGUCCCAGAACAAAAUGGUCGGUACUUUUUUUAUAUCCAUUAAAUGAAUAAAUAUUAAUUUAUAUUUAUAGAAAUAAUAUCACGUUGAUAAUCGGAUUUUUUUUUAUAAAAUAUAGUGGUAGUAUAAUUAAAGAAUUUAGUGAUUCUGAGCUAGUAUAAUUAUAAAAUUUAGUGAUCUUUUUUUUUUCGAGUAAAGAAAUUUAAUGAUUCUAAAGUAGUAUAACGACAGAAUUUAGUGAUUUUAUCAUGUUGUAUGAUAGGAUUUUAAUUCGAUCUUGAUUGAGUGAAUCAAUCAUUUGAUAAUUCUUUGGUUAGAUUGUAUAGUUGGAUCACAAUUACAUGGUAACUCAUCAACUGAGAUUUUUUUGAGGCAAUAGAUUAAAUCUCUCUCUCUCUUAUUUUUCUUGCCACAACACAUAUGAUACAACAAUAACUUCUCAAUUGAAGAGUGUAAAAAAAGUAAUACUGAUCGAUAAAAUACAUAAAGCAUUAUGCCAGUACAACAAAAAAAUCAUAAACAUAUCAUAUGCAUUUAGUUUUAAAUUAAUUAAUUAUUAAUACAUGUAUUAAUUGGGUCUUAUAAAAAAAUAUUUUUUAAAAAAUAUAUUAUCUAAUAAAAUUUAUCAAAUUAUUAAUUUACCAUAUUGACUCUAAGUCAAACUGAAGAAAACUAUUAUUUAAUAGGAGUUAUCAAUUUAUCAAUAUUAAUUCAACGAGGUUCAAUUCUACUUGGUUUUCAUUUUCUUAGUAAGUGAAGUUAUUAGUUCUCUUGCAUCCUAAUUUUCUUCGUUUCACUACUUUUUUUUUCAUUUUUCUUUUUCUUUUAAAUCAAAAUCUUAGAAGAGAAGAAUUACAGCAUAGGGGAUAUAAUGAAUUUCUCCUUAAAGAGAUGCAGAGAAAUAGAACACCAAAAUAACACUAAAAAGUUAGCUUGACAGCAUAAACAAUAAGCAAUGUAAGAGUUAUUUUGGAAAACCACAAGAGAAAUAAAUUUCCUGAUAGCUAAAAUAAAUUUCCUAGAUUAGCCAGGCAGUCGGCAUCACACAAUAAAAGAACCCAUUUGGAGGACAAUUAAUUACUUGUUAUAAUGGCUUGGAAAUUCCAAGCACACUGACCUCAGCUUCCACCACGCAAACGCCAUUCACUAGAAAUCCAGUCUCUGGCUCAUCUAACUCACUCAAUGAAACGAAUCUUGGCCAGCCCCAGUUUUCGCUGGGUGUAUUGAACCAGUCUUUAUUCUCUAAUAGAGUAAAAGGAACAUUCUCGUUAUAUUAUUUGGAUUUGCCUCAAAUACUAAUUGCAUGUAAACACAGAUAUUUUACCUCGAAAAGAUUUAUGUUUUGCCCCCACUUGAUCUAUGAUUCACAAUGUAUGCACUGCAUAUAUAUAUACUUUAAUCACCUUCACUGUGGAAUCUCCAAAAGCCAAGUACAGAGAAAGAUGAUCGCCAUCACCACAGCCGUUUCCAAUCUGGAGGAAUGUGCUUCACAAACAAAGAAACAAACAAACAUUACCAGAAGCAACUAUGCACUUACUGGUUCGGAAACACAAAACCUAGAGUCACUGAAAACGGAGAGAACAAUUACUAUCUUUCAGUAAAGAAGCAAAACAACUAAAACCUAGCUUUGCCAGCUUUCGCAGCACGCAGCCCUUCAGUAAUUAGUGAUCAAGGCUUGAUGAUCAAGCAACAGGACCAUAACUCGCAUGGAUGAAUUUCAAAUUUAGGAGUCCAAUAAUGCGAGCGGUUUGAGUGAGAUAUUUUAACUGAAUUAUUGGCAAUUAAAACUUCAGAAACUAACAGGUGUCUGAAAAGCUUCUACCUUCACUUUUGCAGCAACCACUGCAUAAUGUCCUUUCGCAGGACUCCAUCAAACCCAUUUCUAUUGUAGUUCAAACUCAACAGAUCAAAUCCAUUUGUCUCAAGAUGCCUGUAAUGGGUUGUCGUUCCCGCAGGCCUUGGAUGCCACAUCAUCAUGGCAGUGGUAGAAAAGGGUGGUUUAGGCCAUAUAUUUUUUGAUGAGCUAAACAGAUGUCUAUCAGAUUCCUUGUUUCUAGAUGUUUGGACUCCAGGAGUUUUUGGAUUCGAGGACUUCAUUCCAUGGUUGGCCAUGCUCAUGCUGGGGCCAUGUGAAGGUUUCUCAGGGGGACCAUGUAUCUGGGCAUAUGGUUUCAUUCAGUCAAGCCAACGUAGAAUCCAGCAUUUCUACCAACUUCUAUGUCCCUCUCAUGUAUGUUCCUGUGAAACUUGAGAGCAACAUCAAAGGCAGCACAUACUCGGCUGUGGAAAAAUCAAUGAAGAAUGAAGGUCAGUCUUCAAAAAACAAUGGCAGUUCCAAGUUGGAGGAGUAAAUUUGUUAUUAUUCAAAACAAUUGUAGAAAUAACAGUAUUUGCCAGCUAGUAAUUGACAUAACAGCAGUAGUUAAACAGUAAAAUGGAGUCCAAUGAGCCAACCAGUGGGAAGAAUGCAAUGCUCAGGCAGUACCGUGGGCAAUAUCACACUGAGACUCUAAGAGUGGAGGAUGUGCAAUUAUUGGCUUCAUGAGGCAUACUAAAUCAAUUCAAAGUUCAAAGUAUUGAAACAAUUAACUAAUUUAGGAUUUCCAUUUUAUGCACUAGAUCAGAAGGAUUCUGGAGCAAAAAUAUGUGCCCUGGUAACUUACUUUCAUGAAGUUAAUAAUGUCCUACUAAUAAACAUCAAAAUACAACGGCCCAUUAAAAAGAAAAGCACAGAAGAACUUUCAAUCUAUCAUUUCAAAACAGUCUCUCUGAACUAAACAAGAGUACAGCUAUGAUCUCCAGCUUUGGACGUUAGUACUUGUGCUUCUCCAAAAUCUUCACAUCACCUAAAGAGAGACAGCAAUUUAAGAAUGUGCUCAUAAUAAUGAAAUUAGUUCUGGUAUCCGAGCAUUGUAGCUUGAUUGGAUAAUAAGUUCACAGGAAUACAUAUGAGACUCUCUUACUGCUUCACCGACAGGUACUACAAGAAGCUGGCAAACAUGUUGCUUUGACAUCAAGGGUUCAACAUAAUGCCAAAACAGCAAAAACAUUUUGUUAAAAGUUUGAUAUGGCAAAUCUAAAAGAUAAGUUGAUUCAAAUCCCAUAAUGGGCACACAGACAAAACUAGUUGGAGGUUUGCAAAACUUCGCAAUAGAAAUUAUGCACCAAUCUAGAAUAAGAGAAUGCAGGUUGCAGUUGCGAAUAUUCAACGAUCAACUGAGUUGAUAAUAACUUCUCCUAAUCCUUUAAAGGAUUGGCUUUGCUCCAUAAUUGGUUAAAUCACAAAUUUAGCAACCUAGCCUAUCCAAUAUGUCAUAAGAUCACAGAUUUAGAAGCUGAUUUUAUUAUGAAAGGCACAGGGCCAUUCUAAGUCAGAUAGGGAAGAAUAAUUGCUUUCAGGGAGGAGCCCAGUGGUCUCUCAUAUUGCAUAUGAUAUCAAGUCAAUGUGAACCAUUCACAUCAGCUUACAACCAAGCUGAAGUAGAAAUGUCAGGAUGCACGAUGAACUAGUUGAAGUACUAUUCUAAAGUUUUUCCAUCCAUAUUCUUAUAUAUUUAACGCAAAUAAAAUACAGAUUGGUACUUUGUUAUAGUUGUAUUCAAGCACAUAUUUGGCCUCUGUACAACUAAACUUCAAUGGAGCUCAUAAGAGUGGAAGCAAUAAGUUCAUCGGAUUAGCCAAGAUGGGGCACACUCAAAAGUAGACAAGUAGAGUACAACAGGUGCAUCUAACAAGAAAACUUCCAUUUUAAGAGAUGGUCUAGUGGCAUGGCACUCAGACAGAAAAUUCAGACCAUGAAUAACAAGUUAUGAACCACCAUCAAAGUAACUUUUCAAAGAGAUGAUUAAUACAUAGCCAAAGACAAGCCAUCAUAAUUGUGGACUGUUCAAAGAGAUGAUAAUACAUAGGCAAAUACAAGCCGUCAUAAUCGUGGACACAUAUCCUAAGAUAAUCCCAUUCCGCAGGAUGCAUUGCUGCAACAUAUAGAAUUCAGAUUCGACGCAAUCAACUCCACAUAAUCCAUCAAAAUCCCAUUGAAGAGGCAUUAGAAGGUAGAAAUUUCAGCUAAAUUUUUUUUGAAGAAAUGGAAAUAGAAGAAAGAAUCGUACCAUAGGUAGUGAGAAGAGAGAAUAGAAGGGAAGAGCAAGGAGAAAUUCUAUGAAUCUUUGACCCCAAAAGAAAACCAAAAUCCAUACAAUACCUCCCUAAAGAACACACGCUUUUAUGGUUUUUGAUGGCAUAGGAGUACUUCCUAAGGAAAUAUAUAAGUAAUUAGGAGAUGCUACAAGAAUAGCUCAUGUCUGUUGCUUCCUAUAUAGUUACUCCAUAGUUAAGUUCACACAAAAAUAGUUUCUAUAAGGUAAACAUGGUUUACUUUCACUGCAAUAUAUAACAUAAGUAGACGACAACACUCAUAUCUGGAUAAACUUUUGAAAUUAGGUUUUCAGGAUCUUUUACAAAUUUGUAAUUUUUAUUUGCUUCACCCUCUCCCCCUAUUCUUAGAAAACCUAAAAUUUUGGAUCCUUCUGUCCGUUGCCUUUGCUUAAGCAGUUCUCUGUCUAGCCGCUAUUAAGCCACAUUACUUCUACAAGAAAUCAAUUCCUAGCCACAAAACACUCCAUUACUCUCCCCAGCUUUGUUACAUUAGAUCUUUAGCAAGCAUCAAGAACCAAAUUCAAAAUAACACACACUACUAUGCACUUAAAUCAAAUUACCAAGAUCAAUUUUGAAAAAUAUCAUAAAAUCGUGAAACACAAGAACAUUGCAUUGCAAUGUAUUGUUAAUAUAUCCCAUAUCAGUAUCAUACAUAUCAUUAUCAACACCACGAAUACCACCAUCAUCAUCAUAAAUCUCUUUUGACUCCAAAAUCAACAGCUCUUAUUGUCGUAACGAGCAUAGCUACAGAACCCAUUACUGAAAAUUAACACUUGAAACCACCUAGCUUAAUUAAACCCAUCUGCUAAUAAACCUAUUGAUUGCUAACCCAUCAAGCUACAAAUUAAUCAAAAUCAAACUCCAAACAAAAUGAAAUAAUCAAAUAAUAAUAACAACAACAGUAACACAAAUAUACCGGUGAACAAAUUGACGAAUCCGGGGGUGCUUAGGGCUGAUAACGCGGCCCUGAAUCCUCAAAGCAAGCCUGUACGUCCGCUUCAUCCCCAAGAAAUACGCUGUUCCCAAUGUGAUCUCCCAUAGCACCAUUGUCUCUCUUUCUAGAACUCUCUCUCUCUCUCUGUAUUGUUCGUGUAUUUAUGCACUCUUUUUUUUUGUUUUAUGUUUAUUUAUUUUUGGAUAUUUUUUAUAUUUUGAUGUUUCUUUUCUCCCAAGUAUCUAUGGAUCCCUCGCUUCAGAGAAGUAUCUAUGGAUCCCUUGAUUCGAGCCGCCAGAAAUUUCGAUCUUGGUUACCCAUCACGCUUCGGCCUUAGAGUGUUUAUCCGUGUAUUGUCUCCGGACUUCAUAUGUAUAUAAGAGGAAUUUUUUAGGAUUAUGCCAUCAAUAAAAAUAAAAUUUCCAUAAACAUGACAAAUAUGUGAGGAAAAGUCUAGAAAGCCCUUCCAUUAGAAUGACACACUCUACCCACACCCAUUGGUUAGCUGCCCGACCUUUUUUAGUUGACAACUAUACUCGACUUUAUUUUAACCAAUAGUUACAUAAUUGUGAGACUCAUUUUCAUAUUCGAUCUAUAUUUAAUUUUUUAAUUGAUUUUUAAUUACUCAAAUAUUAUCGAAAAUGAACUAAUUAUGAUUAAAUAAUUUGUUAAUUAUUCCAUAAUUAUCUAAUUGUACUUAAGUAAUUUAUCCAUGCAUUAUAACGAACGAAAAAUUAAACUAAAGAAAGCCUGUCACUUUUUUUAAAAAAAAUUGGAGAGAGAAGGGCAAAAUAGGUUUUUUAGGUAUUGAACUUGUGUUGCUAUAUUGAAUGAAUGUAUUUUAUAGUCUUCGUGCAAUUCACUCGGUCGGAAUCUCAUAUAAGUGAAUAAAGCCGAAAGCAGGCGCAGUUCUGGAAAUUGGCCAUUUUUACGGCAUAUUUAAAAUUCAAAAAAAAAAAAAUCUACAUCUCUUUGAGUUCUCCCGGCCUCAUCUCAACUGUUGGGUUCUCUUUUUUUUUUUUUUUUUUAAUAAUGCCACUGUUUUAGUGAAAGAGAUCUUUUAAAUACACCUCUUCACUUGAAUAAAAAAGGGGUACAAAUAUGUCAAAACAAUAAAAAUGGCAUGAAGCUAAAAGGAGCAAAAUAAUAAUAAGUCAAUGGUAGAAUAAUUAGCAGAACUUCUUCGCGUGUUCACUAUUUCAUUUCUCAAUCUCUUGAAAUAUUUGAUUGAUGGGUAUUUAUAGCCAAUAAAGCAUAUAUAUUCGGUCGUGCAUUUAGCAACAUGUUUUUUUAUUCUUAAGGUGUUAUGUAUAUUAUAUUUCGAGGAGUAUGAUGAUACACACACACAUCAUAAAUCAUGGAGCUGCUUUUGCAACUCACUUCCUAAAGUUAUUAGUGUAAAAUACACAUUCUUUUUACCAAGAGAUGAAUAGAUAUAUCUCAUAACAACAACGAGAAUUUAAAUUAUCACAAUGCUUUUGAAAUUCCAAGAACAGAAACCUCUGCUUCCACAAUGCACCCAUCAUUCACAAGAAAACCAUUGCCUGCCUCGUUUAAGUAACUGAGUUCAGCAAAUCUUGGCCAACCCCAUGAGGACCUGAACCAUAUACUUGCUGCAUGAAACAACAAUAAAGAAAGCCUCAAGUUAUUUGUAUUUAGCUAUAAAGCAUAUAGUUGCAGUAAUAUUGCAUUAAUUCAUGNNNNNNNNNNNNNNNNNNNNNNNNNNNNNNNNNNNNNNNNNNNNNNNNNNNNNNNNNNNNNNNNNNNNNNNNNNNNNNNNNNNNNNNNNNNNNNNNNNNNNNNNNNNNNNNNNNNNNNNNNNNNNNNNNNNNNNNNNNNNNNNNNNNNNNNNNNNNNNNNNNNNNNNNNNNNNNNNNNNNNNNNNNNNNNNNNNNNNNNNNNNNNNNNNNNNNNNNNNNNNNNNNNNNNNNNNNNNNNNNNNNNNNNNNNNNNNNNNNNNNNNNNNNNNNNNNNNNNNNNNNNNNNNNNNNNNNNNNNNNNNNNNNNNNNNNNNNNNNNNNNNNNNNNNNNNNNNNNNNNNNNNNNNNNNNNNNNNNNNNNNNNNNNNNNNNNNNNNNNNNNNNNNNNNNNNNNNNNNNNNNNNNNNNUUCUCUUUUUUUUUUUUUUUUUAAUAAUGCCACUGUUUUAGUGAAAGAGAUCUUUUAAAUACACCUCUUCACUUGAAUAAAAAAGGGGUACAAAUAUGUCAAAACAAUAAAAAUGGCAUGAAGCUAAAAGGAGCAAAAUAAUAAUAAGUCAAUGGUAGAAUAAUUAGCAGAACUUCUUCGCGUGUUCACUAUUUCAUUUCUCAAUCUCUUGAAAUAUUUGAUUGAUGGGUAUUUAUAGCCAAUAAAGCAUAUAUAUUCGGUCGUGCAUUUAGCAACAUGUUUUUUUAUUCUUAAGGUGUUAUGUAUAUUAUAUUUCGAGGAGUAUGAUGAUACACACACACAUCAUAAAUCAUGGAGCUGCUUUUGCAACUCACUUCCUAAAGUUAUUAGUGUAAAAUACACAUUCUUUUUACCAAGAGAUGAAUAGAUAUAUCUCAUAACAACAACGAGAAUUUAAAUUAUCACAAUGCUUUUGAAAUUCCAAGAACAGAAACCUCUGCUUCCACAAUGCACCCAUCAUUCACAAGAAAACCAUUGCCUGCCUCGUUUAAGUAACUGAGUUCAGCAAAUCUUGGCCAACCCCAUGAGGACCUGAACCAUAUACUUGCUGCGUGAAACAACAAUAAAGAAAGCCUCAAGUUAUUUGUAUUUAGCUAUAAAGCAUAUAGUUGCAGUAAUAUUGCAUUAAUUCAUGCACCUGUGAAAUAAGUUUGGGAUAAUAAUUUUUUUAUUUAAUUACUGUUUGCUUCUUUAUGCUUUCCCCGCACUUGAUCCCGGAUUCGCAGUGUGAAGUGCACGUAUAUUUUAAAACCAGGAGUUAUAGUUGAGGAAUCAACCAAUGCCAAGGACAUAGAAACAUGACUGCCGGUUCCACUUUUGAUUCCCUUGGGAUGGAGCUGUAUCUUCCUGAAAAAAUCAACAAGGGUUAAUUUUCAGAUGAGGCAUUUAAUUAGAUGAUACGAGUAAAGAAAUUAACAGAAAGAAUUAGUCAUCCUCAACUUCGGACGUCUACUUGAUCGUAGGCUAAAUCCAAACCUCGUGAAAUUUGGACACCAUUUCAGAAAGUAUAUAUAUACAUAUACCACUUUUGAUCUCUAACAAUGAAUACUUCUGAUUCGUGACGCUUUGCCUCUAACUUUGAAAAGUUCUCGAUCUUCCAAACAUGCUUAUAAAUGGAAGCAGAUGUCAAUUUCGUCAUGGAAAGGCACUCUCCUUUGCAUUUGUUCCUUUCUUUAACCAGUACUUCUGCUCCAAAAACACACGUAUCGUCCACAAGAUAUCCAUUCGAAGCAUCGUUAAAUUCUUCAAGCGGGAUGAAUUGAUCAAAACCCCAUUCAAGCUUCAAUCCAUGAAAACGUCUUCUUUUCCCAUGGCAUCUAGCACAUGAUGAAGUGACCCCAAAUCACGAUUAGCUCUUAGGUAAAUAAUUAAGAACAAAAUAAUCGUGAACACUGUUGAGUAUGAUAAUCAACCUUGAAGAAUCAAGAACUCGUCUUUGUUCUGAUCAAGCACAAAGAGGCGGAAAAUUGGAUAGACUUCCCAGCCAAAGCCAAGCGAACUUGUGUCUGCCAUUUCCAAGUAGAGUGAGAUGUGAUCGUUCACAUUUUUGUUUUCAUUUCCAUUUGGGUAGACAACAAGUUUCCUGAAACCAUCAUGAAUUCAUAAUAAAAUAUUAGAUUAUGAAUUAUAAUUUAGUAACAAGGUAAUCUGAAUAUUAAUUCACUAAGUUUUAGGUCAUACCACUUGUGGCCUCCAGCAUCAAAUUCCAAAGAUUCAUAAAUUUCCAAUUCAUUCUCCACAAGAGAUGAAAAUUCCUGUAUUUUGAGUAAGAAAUGAGCCGGUGGUACGUGUGAAAUGGAUCUUGAAAUUGCUGUCAAGAGUAAUUUUAACAUUGAUAAGAAGAUAACAAGCUAAAAAUGUUCAAUUAAUGCACAUAUAUAAACAUACGUAGAGAAGGGAAGCUGAGGAAAGAGUUAGACAACAUACCAACUUGGUCUACAAAGUCAUUUUCCAUUGCAACAAAUCCCUCCAAAUUACAAUAAUUUCUCGAGUAUUAAAACUAGUACUGAAGACAGAUUUAUUAAGAUAAGAUUUUUCAAGGGUUAUAGGUCUCUCAAGAAUAAUAUUUCUUCUUUAAAAUAUCUAAACGGGACAAUGGCAUAUAUAAAGCACCAAGGUUGAGGGUUUAUACAAUUCAACAUUAAAUUUUCAGAAAGAGUCAAAAUAACUAUUGAUAUUCGCUAAGUUUUGGAAACUGGUGGUUGCAAGAAUGGAAUGGAAAGGGGAAUGCAAUGGGGGGGAAGGGAUAUUGAUUCUUUAAUUUGUUUGGUUUGGUCAAGGAAUAUUGAUUUCUUUGCUUGGUUCCAAGAAUGGAUGGUAAGGGGUAAGAAAACAACUACAAUACAAAUGAACAAGAAUAUGUACCCUCCACUCAAAAAACGUCUAUUUCAACGAGCUGAAGCAGUAUUUUAGUUGUUCUAUUUUCUAUUAUCAAAUAUUAUAAAAUUAGCUUCCAAAAUUUAGGCCUGAUUUUGUAUUAUGGUUGAGGAGCACUUAGUGUUCAGUAAAUAUUUAUUAAUCUAAUCUUAAAGUUAAGUUGAUUUUAUUUCACGCUCGUAAAAUAAAAAAAUCUAUUGCGACUGGCAGAAUACAGAGAGAAAAAAAAGGGGCAACAGUGAAUAAGAUAUCACACGCUAAACCUAUAAGAAGCAUCUCCAUCUAGUUUCCAUGUGGAGACUUAACAACCAAUUAACCACCAAUUAUCAAGCGGCGGCAACUGAAUUUCUUUGUCAAAAUAUAUGGGUACGAUGAGAUUAACUCUUGUUAUGAGAAUAAAAUUAAAAAAUUGGCAUCCCAAUUUUCUUGCAAGAGUAAUAAUGCUUAUGAUUCCUCAUAUCUUGCUUUGAUACCAUUUGUGAUUUCGAGCAUCGAAAACUUGUGAUUCCUCAUAUCCUGCGUCUAACUUUGAAAACUUCUCGAUCUUCCAAACAUACUUACAACUGCUUGCAAUUUCUUUCAUAGAUAGGCACUCUCCUUUGAAUUUGUUUCUUUCUUUAACAAGCACUUCAGCGUCAAAAACACACGUAUCUUCGACAAGGUAUCCAUUCAAAGCAUCAUUGAAAGCUCUAAGCGGGAUGAAUUUAUCAAAACCCCAUACAUGCUUCAGUCCAUUAAACCGUCUUUCCUUUCCCAUGCAAUCUAUCACAUUAAAAGCAACCACCGAUUAUGCAUGCAUUCAAUUUCUUUCCUAAAGAUUCGAGCAAAAUUUUUGCUUUCAAUAUACAAUUCUGGACAUUAAAUUUGAUUUAACCUUGAACUACAAAGUAGUUGUCUUGGUUCUAAUCAAGUAAGAACAGACAAAAACUGCAGAGACUUCCCAAUCCAAAGUAAAUGAACUUGUGCCUGCAAUUGCUAAGUAGAGUGAGAUGUAGUCUUUCACAUUCUUGCUCUAAUUUCCAUUUGGGUACAGAACAAGUUCCUUGUAAUAAUUAAUCGACAUUAAUAAAUAAUACACUAACAUGAUAAUUAAAUUUAAUUACGUCAAUUAAGGACACACACACACGCACACACAUACAUACAUACAUACCACUUGUAGCCUCCAACUUCAAAUUCUCCUGAUUCAUAUUCCUCUUCUGCUUUUUCCGCAAGUAAUGAAAAUGAUUUUAUUUUGACAAUGUAAUGAGCCGGUGGCGCUUUUGAAGUGGAUCUUUCACUAGCUAUUAAAGUAAUUUUAUACACCGAUUGAUUAAUUAGGAAAUAAAAUAAGCAGCUGAAGAUUUUAUGUAUAUUAAUUUGACCAAGAAGAGAAGGAGAGAGAACAGACAUUCCACGGAAAAAAACUCUUCCAAAUAAUUGUCGAAUGCACAUUCUGCCUCGUGGGAAUUCUCGGACGGCGUUUCGCGACCGAAACGGCAGCGUUUCGAGGCAGCUGUCUUUUGAGGGUGGUUCAUGCUAAGUCCGAUGAUGGCUUCAGGAAUGCUCCGCUUGAUACAACUUAGUAGCUAAUAACUUUGUCCAAAUCCCAAAUAAAUAAGAGAAAUAAAUUUAAAUCCAAAUAAAAAUGGAAUUACAAAAACUGACUAAAAAACAAAGGCUAAAUAGGGUAAAUCCUGAUAAAAUAUGAAAAACUGCUUUUAACUAAUAAAAUUCGUAAGUAUCUCAUUUAAAUGUUACAAAUGAUCAAUAAAAUCUCACCCUUAAAAGUUGUGUGCCUUGCCCGCACUUGAUCCAAAAUAUAGAGUCCAAGUUUUGCAUAUACUUUUAACAGUCGAAUAUACCAAAAUCGAGAACAGCAGAUCAGCUUUUUCUUCAUGAAGAAUAUUAGCUUUUUUGCAUUUAUUUUCAUUACAAUAAGUUUCUUGCAACCACCAUGAAUUCAAUGAGAUAUUAGACGGCCGUAGUUCAGUAAUAAGAAAAUCUGAAUAUUAAAUGAAUUAGUCUGACUAUUGAUAUUCAUCAAAUUUCUGAAACUGGGUCAACAAUUUGCUUUUCAUUGUAAUCCAGCGAAGGAAAAAAAAAGUAAUAAUAAAUAAAGUUUGGUAGAUAAAUCAAAAGAAAAUCAUAUAAUAAUAUUCCAUGUGAUUGGAUUAAUUGUUUCAGUUGGUUUCACUGCCUUCGAUUUCUCUCUUACAUCCCAAUUUUCUUUGUACCAAUCACUUCUUUCUUUUUGGAAAUCAAAAUCUUAGAAGAAAGAAGAAUUACUGCCAAGAGCAUAUAAUAAAUCUUCACGUUCAUAGAUGCAUAAAAUUAGAUCACCAAAAUCACACUAAAAGUUAACUGGACAACUGAAACAAUAAGCAACAUAGCUAUAAUUUGGAAAUCCAGGAGAGAAAUAAUUUUCUUGCAAGCUAAAAUAAAUUUCCUAGAUUAGCCAGGAUGGCAGUCAGCAUCACACAAUAAAAGAAC